rnacentral:rRNA from 1 species
UACGUAGGGUGCGAGCGUUAAUCGGAAUUACUGGGCGUAAAGCGUGCGCAGGUGGUUAUUUAAGACAGAUGUGAAAUCCCCGGGCUCAACCUGGGAACUGCGUUUGUGACUGGAUGGCUAGAGUGCGGCAGAGGGGGGUAGAAUUCCACGUGUAGCAGUGAAAUGCGUAGAUAUCAGGAGGAAUACCGAUGGCGAAGGCAGGUCUCUGGGCUGACACUGACGCUCAUGCACGAAAGCGUGGGGAGCAAACAGG